rnacentral:rRNA from 1 species
CCUACGGGAGGCAGCAGUGAGGAAUAUUGGUCAAUGGGCGUGAGCCUGAACCAGCCAAGUCGCGUGAAGGAAGAAGGUACUUUGUAUCGUAAACCUCUUUUGUCGGGGAAUAAAGUCCGAGACGUGUCCCCUGUUGUGUGUACCUUAUGAAUAAGCAUCGGCUAACUCCGUGCCAGCAGCCGCGGUAAUACGGAGGAUUCGAGCGUUAUCCGGAUUUAUUGGGUUUAAAGGGUGCGUAGGCGGGCGGUUAAGUCAGCGGUGAAAUUGUGUGGCUCAACCCUGGACCUGCCGUUGAAACUGGGAGGCUGGAGUAGGAGUGAGGUAGGCGGAAUGCGUGGUGUAGCGGUGAAAUGCUUAGAUAUCACGAAGAACUCCGAUUGCGAAGGCAGCAUGCCAAGUCAUGACUGACGCUGAGGCACGAAAGCGUGGGGAUCAAACAGGAUUAGAUACCCUUGUAGUC